CAGAUACUGAGAAUGUUCUAGGGCUCUGAGUGUCUCUUGUGAAGGAGAUCUGGCAGGAGGCUGGGAUUGCAGGAGGCCAACAUGCUGCCUUUAAAGCUCCAGAUAUGAGUCUUCAGCAAAAGAAGCUUCCCUGCCCACAGCAGCUGGUGACAACACCAUGGACUUCCACAUGGUUUCCAGAGGCAGCUUGGAACACUGACAUCAACCUCGGCCCUGGGAGCAGCCCAGAUUGUGGCCAUGGACAUGGAGUAUCCUCCCUGUUCUGUGCUGGAAUGGUGCCUUGUUUUGUAUGCAUUUUUUUUAUAUGUACAGUCUUGUUGUAGAGCUCAGGUGGGUCUCAAAUUCUGCACUAGGAAGUCUGACAGGGAAGAAAGGCAGUGGUCCAACUCUGUUUGGGGAGAUCUGGGUCCUCCACCAGGAAGAAGGGUGCGUGAAACAGAGGCUCAAGACUGGAACCCACUGCCUCACCCAUGUAUCUGGCACUUGAUGGCUGGACACAUCUACUCACGGUCUCUCAGUGGAGUCUCUAUUCAGAACUAUUUGGACUUCCGAACAUAGCAGCUGGCUUCCAAGAACCAGCGUCCCCAGAGAUGAGGGCCAGAGGCAUGUGAGAUAUUUCUGUCCAGGCUCGAGGUCUCAUGUUAAAAUCGGAAUGUGGGGUGAGAUGAUGUAUUGCAGUCAUCUUUGGAAGAUCAUAAUAAACAGCGGUAGAUUUGACUUUUCAGAAACAGCUAAAAUUCCUUGAUUUUGAUAAAGCUUGAUAAGCUUGAUAAAGAAGAGAGGGGAGUGAAGCUGUUUGGAUUAGAAACUAAGAGUUAAUAGGCCGAGGAUGUAGUUCAGUUGGUAGAGUGCUGGCCUGGGACACACAAGGCCCUGGGUUGAAUCCACGGUACUGCGGUACUGCGUAAACCAGGCCUGUUGGCACACGCCUGUAAUCCCAGGGAGGGGUGGGGAUACGCUCCAGGCUAACAAGAUCCUGUCUCAAAACAAACAAACCAGACAGAACAUCCACACCCACACCCGCAAAACAUUUUUGACAAAGUGUGUGCUCCAGUGGUGACCGUGGCCACUUUGAAUUGGCCCUGUACGGACCCGUAUUCCUCUCAGGAGCACUUGAAGAGCUGCCUGGUGGACUGGCCCAUUCAUGCAAGAGAAAGUAGCCAUGUUUCUAAUUAAGAGUCUCUAGACUGGUUGGAUUUUAUGGAUGGGAUAUUUUUAAUUUUUGUAGAGAUGAGAUAUUAUAGAUCCAUAAACUAGGGUUGGGUUAUCUUUGAUACUCGCCUCUUGGCGACAGGGUUUCAUGUAGCCUAGCCUUCCCAGACUGGUCUUGAACUCACUAUAUAGCAUCAAUGAUGUCCUUUAUCCUCUGAGUGCUGGGAUUAUAGGUGGGUACCAUCACACUUGUGCGAUCCUGGGGAAGGAAGUCAGGGUCUUUUUAGGCGAGUACCAUCCUGAAUUAUGUCCAAGUAGGUCACACUUUUGUUGUUGUUGUUGCUAAUGUUCUCCAUUUGCUUUUUGAGACAUGGUUUCUCUGUGUAGCCCUGGAUGUCCUGGAACUGACUCUGUAGACCAGGCUGGCUUGGAAUUUACAGAGAUCCCAUUGCCUCUGCCUCCUGGGUGCUGGGAUUAAGGCGUGUGCACUACUGUCUGGCUUACCCAACUCUCCUCUCCUCUGUCCUCUCCCUCCAAUCCCCUUCUGAGACAGGAUCUCUACAGCGCAGGCUGGCCUUGUGCCAAGCUGGAUUUGGAAGACUGGCAAUUCUCCCACUAUAGCUUUAAGGUUUUUACUUGUAUUUGUGUGUGGAGAGUGUGUGUCUGUAAACACAUGUGUAUAUGUGACUAAACGUGUAUAUGUAACCUG